CAGUCGCCGCGGUAAUACAGAGGGUGCAAGCGUUAAUCGGAAUUACUGGGCGUAAAGCGCGCGUAGGUGGUUCGCCAAGUUGGAUGUGAAAUCCCCGGGCUCAACCUGCGAACCGCAUCCAAAACUGGCGAGCUAGAGUAUGGUAGAGGGUGGUGGAAUUUCCUGUGUAGCGGUGAAAUGCGUAGAUAUAGGAAGGAACAUCAGUGGCGAAGGCGACCACCUGGACUGAUACUGACACUGAGGUGCGGAAGCGUGGGGAGCAAACAGGAUUAGAUACCCCAGUAGUCCCUGUCUCUUAUAC
rnacentral:rRNA from 1 species